rnacentral:misc_RNA from 1 species
GUAGGUGAACCUGCGGAAGGAUCAUUAACAAAGUUGGGUGAAUUUAUAGAGAUCUCUCUGUAAAUUCCACCCCUUUCUUAAAAAACCCCAACAUUUUUAUUCGUGAACAGAAAGGAUUUAAACAUUUAAGUCCUUUUCCCCUCCUCCCCUAUUUUUUAUAUAAAACCCCAAUUUAAAAACAAUACACGCUUGAAAAAAAUGUGUAUUUUUUUUUUUUGUAAAAAAAAUUCUAAAAAGCUUUUUUCUUUUACAAUUUAACAAUUGAGAAAGAAAAAUCCUACGAAAUGCUGAACAACUCUUAACAACGGAUAUCUUGGUUCUC